GAUGAACGCUGGCGGCGUGCCUAAUACAUGCAAGUCGAGCGAACGGACGAGAAGCUUGCUUCUCUGAUGUUAGCGGCGGACGGGUGAGUAACACGUGGAUAGCCUACCUAUAAGACUGGGAUAACUUCGGGAAACCGGAGCUAAUACCGGAUAAUAUUUUGAACCGCAUGGUUCAAAAGUGAAAGACGGUCUUGCUGUCACUUAUAGAUGGAUCCGCGCUGCAUUAGCUAGUUGGUAAGGUAACGGCUUACCAAGGCAACGAUGCAUAUCCGACCUGAGAGGGUGAUCGGCCACACUGGAACUGAGACACGGUCCAGACUCCUACGGGAGGCAGCAGUAGGGAAUCUUCCGCAAUGGGCGAAAGCCUGACGGAGCAACGCCGCGUGAGUGAUGAAGGUCUUCGGAUCGUAAAACUCUGUUAUUAGGGAAGAACAUAUGUGUAAGUAACUGUGCACAUCUUGACGGUACCUAAUCAGAAAGCCACGGCUAACUACGUG
rnacentral:rRNA from 1 species